UCCCUGGUAGCUAAGCUGUUAAAGAAUCUGCCUGCAAUGCAGGCAGACCCUGGUUUGAUUCCUGGGUUGGGAA
rnacentral:tRNA from 1 species